UACGUAGGGUGCAAGCGUUAAUCGGAAUUACUGGGCGUAAAGCGUGUGUAGGCGGCUACGUAAGUCGGAUGUGAAAGCCCCGGGCUCAACCUGGGAAGUGCACUCGAUACUGCGUAGCUUGAGUCUCGGAGAGGUUGGUGGAAUUCUCGGUGUAGAGGUGAAAUUCGUAGAUAUCGAGAGGAACACCGGUGGCGAAGGCGGCCAACUGGACGAAGACUGACGCUGAGACACGAAAGCGUGGGGAGCAAACAGG
rnacentral:rRNA from 1 species